rfam:halophilic archaeon J07HB67 genomic scaffold scf_7180000098878, whole genome shotgun sequence.
GUUCCAGAUGAACCCGUUGUGGGGUUGAAGC